ACUCCCUGACUCCUGGUGCCUGAGUCCUUGGUGCUGCAUCUUCUUACCCCCUCCCCCAAGGGGUGUCCGAGUAGGGUAACCACAAUAUUUGGCGUCUAAACGUGGGGUUCGGCCCUACUUGAAUCAGGGUGUAUUCUUAUUUUCCGUCGCCGAGGCUGUUUUUUAUUUGGGCCCUGAUCUUUGACUUUUGUUGGUGGUGGUGCAUCGUCGGAUCCUACGUUGGUGCACUUUCACUUUUUCUGUCUGCACCCUUUCAGACUCCUCUUUACUCUUCGGCACUCCCUCUUCCAGUGACUUGUUCCAUGAGUUCCCUGCCUGUUUUAUGUCCUUGGUCCUCGCAAAGUGUAUUUCCACACUCUAGGUUCUCAUGGCACUUCGACACCCAGAACGUGGCCCUGCUUGGGAGGUCUCUUGGGCCUGGCUCACAGAAAUUCCUGAGGCAUCAGUUUGACAGGCACUCCUCCCACCCUGGCAUGCUUCCCAGAGAUGUCAUCCUUCAAGGGCUGGUAGUCAAUGACCGAGACUGCUGAUGGAGAGACAUAUGACCCAAAGACACCAAUGAGAAAAGGACAUACAACAGAGUCAGCCGCCUGAGCCAAUGGGACCUUGGGAGGGUGUAUAAAGGCAGGUCUAGCUUCCUUAAUAAAG
rnacentral:lncRNA from 1 species